AUAAAAACAUUGAAAAAGGAAAGUAGUUUAGAUAUGUAUCUUCAGAGAGGGAAUGGCAGGUGAGAAUUCUCGUUACAAUUUAUACGAAGUGCCCUUUGGAGUUUUGCACCGAAGUUUUUGAGGCUGCAACGUGUUUCUCACGUUAUAGGGAUUGGAUAUGUCAGUAUCUGAAAAGGUGGAUUAUUGUAUAAUCAAUUGGAGUGGAACCGCGGAGUUUAUUCGUCUCUAUC
rnacentral:ncRNA from 1 species